UUCUGGAGCGAUCAGAAUACGGUCUAUGGUAACACAACUGAUCAGCAGGGUUUCAGAUAUGGACAGAAUCCAUCAAAUUGGUUGAAUCAGCCAUUCCCCCUGGUUGAACAGCCACGAGUUGUCAGACCUCACGCAUCGGUUGCUCCAUUUGAUUUAGAGAAGACAAGAGAAGGCAGCGGGUUUAAGAUUUUUGGGUUCAAAGUUGAUACCGCGAGUGCAUCUCCUAUUCAGUUGAGCUCUCCGAUGUCUGCAAUGCGGGAGCAUGUGGUACAAACUCAACCAUCAGCAUCGGUGAAUGAAUUGCAACCCGUGCAAACUGAAUGCUUGCCUGAGGGGUCUGUAAGCACAGCUGGAACAUCAACUGAGAAUGAGAAAAGCAUUCAGCAAGCUACACAAAGUUCAAAAGAUA
rnacentral:lncRNA from 1 species